UGUUCUCUCUUUUUUCUUUAACGAAAUCAUUUAAUUUCGAUAUAUUUUAUGUGAAAUAUCCAAAUAUCAUUAAUGAUCACUCUUCUUUAGUGAAAAUAAUUGACAAUUCUGUUUUCUAUUUUCACUUCUUUCUUUGCAAGAAACAGAAAACAUAGAAAGUAAAAAGGUAAACCAAACGUGCCCUAAGUUUGUAGCACUAGCUAUGUAGAACAAUUUUCAUCUAAUCAGUAGGAGGUGUCUGUAGAGAACGGGAACCAACUAGACCAAGAAUAUGCCUUUGUUUAU